rnacentral:lncRNA from 1 species
CUAUUUCAAAAGCACAAAUAUGCUGAUAAAAAGGACGCACACAUCACGCUUCAGUGCUGUGCUCGCGAGUUUUGAUCAGAUUCCACUCAUUCGAACGUUAGGUCUAUUAUUAGGCCUAUUGCCGUUAGGUCUAUUUUGGAUCGCAGCCCUACUUAACUUAUUACUCUCGUAUAUCUAUUAUUAUGAGGCAGAAAGUUGAACCUAUUUUAGCCAAUAGUAAACAGCCAACCAAAUGUACAGAACUUAUCUAACCUAUGGUUCAUUUUGAAAAAUCGAUUUUUAAAUCUUUCAAAAUUUUGAUUUUACUAUCCAAUAUUUUCAAUAUGUUUGAUUUGAUUCAGUCAACGACACUUUGACUUUAAAAUUUAAGCUAACAUUUUACUUUGAUAAAUUUAUAAUUGCAAGCAUUAUAAAAGAAAAAUACUGACUAAAUUUGUAAAGAUAAUCGACACAAUAAAAAUUUAAAAUUAAACUACUGUUGACACACUCAAAUGAAACAAAUAAAAAAAUUAAAUAUUUAAAAUAUUGGAUAGUAAAUUUACAAUGAUUCGUAGUUAAUGUAAAUUUUACACAUUUUUACCUUCUUAUUAUUACCACCAACCAAACCUGUGUCCUACCACAACCACCUAUAUAAAUGUCAUAUAAAAAUUAAUCGAUAUAAGGUAAUAUAAUAUCUAAUAUUUGAAAUUCAUUUUUUUAAAUAACUAAGUUUAAAAAAUUUGUCUAUAUAAAUGAAAUUUAAUCAUAUUCACUUAAUUACUAUGUAGUUCCUUGUAAUUAAAUCGACUCGCUCCAACACUCCAACCUAUGUGCUUACUUUUCAAUAUAUAGUUAACUCUUUUGAAUGCAUUUAAUUGUUAUGUGGCAUUUUUAUAACUUCCAUUUGAAUCUACCAUUUGCUUAAAAAAAAAUUAAAAAUGUAUAAAACUUACCAGUAGUAUAGAUCAUUUUGAUUCGUCUAUUCAAUCUAUCAAAAUUUUGAUUUUAGUAUCCAAUUAUUAAGUUGUUUGAUUUAAAUAAUUUAAUAGCUCUUCGGAUAUAAAAUUUAUGUUAAUUAUUACUUUAAUGAAUUAAUAGUUACGUAAAUUGUAUAAAAUAUAUUGACUAAAUCUAUAAUGAUAACCAUGCAUUCAAAUUCUGAAAUUAAAAAAUCACUAAUUGAUUCAUAUCAACUAAAUUAGAAGGUCAAAUAAUAAAAUCAAAAAUUUUAAAUUAGGUACACAAACUUAAAUGGAUGAUAGUUAAAAAUAACCAAAUGUGUUAAACCACAUUAUUUAGAAAAUUAGCAUUUAGAAAAUAACCAAAUUGAUUCAUAACCAAAUGGAUGAUAGCUCGUCUAUUUCUAUAUGGUUCAUCUUCCUCCUCGCCUUUUUGAAUUUUUUACCCUCAAUUUGUUUUUUCUUAUUUUUUUCCUUUCUGACCCUUAUCAGCUCCUCCACCACCUCUGCUGUCGUUGGCGACAGUAAAGAGUCCGCCUUCUCUCCUCCGCCUCCACCUCCCUCGACGUCGGAGAAAGAGGAAGCGGAGCAGGCACGGGUGAUGACGGAGCAAACGAAGGCGAUGGAAUCAUGACCGAGGGAGCGCUCGCCAUAGCCCAUGAAGUUGAGGACGAAGACGUGUCCAAACUUGUCCAAGGACCGAAAAGAAGAUAUAGAGAAUAGAAAAAAAAAAUAAAAUAAUAAAAUAAUAAAAUUUUUAAAAAAUCAUUAUAUCAUUGUUGUUACAGGAAAAGGCUAAAAAUAAAAAAGAAAGAAGAAAAAGAAGAUGAAUUUCCACUGUUGAUAUAAAAUUCCAUUGUUUUAAAAAAAAAUUAUACUGUUUGAAAAAAAUGUUACACUCUUUAAGACGAAAAUUAUACUAUUUAAAAUGAAAGUUGCACUUUUUGAACCAAAAUUGCACUCUUUAAGAAAAAGUGACACUGUUUGCUCUAAUAAAGCAAACUAAGAUUUAACAAUGGUGUGAUAUUACCUAUAGCGUCUCAAUAUUAUUUGGAGCCUUAGAAGUCUUCGACUGCCGGUGGUUGCGAAAGGAAAUUCAACUCGUCGAAGAGAUCGACGAGGCGGCGGAGCCCGGACGAGGGAGCGCUGUCGAGCACCCAGAGAAGCACCUCAGUUUUUGUUUUCCCCCUCACACUCCCGCAAGAGCCACCGCCGCCCUCCGCCUCCGCCGACCGCCGCCACUGCCACCUUGAACGUGUCCUUGAUCGAGCAGGUUGGGGCCCCGUGGGGGCGAGCACAUCAUUAUUGUGAUAUCCCUGAAGUACAGCAGUUGAGGCCUGUCGACACGACGGAAGAGUGUCGGGACAAGUCCGAGUCGCGUUGGCGCGGAAUAGAUGCAAAACGGACUCAGUGCGACGCGAGAGCAAGAGGUUAGCCUGAAAACCUACAAAUGUAGAAUUUUCUGCUUGCUGUACCUAUACAACAUCAGAGGUGUACCGGUACACUGCGGAUGUUUCCGCGCAGCUGCUCUCGGGUUGCCAUUUGUACCGGUACAACCGCACGUGAACCGGUACACCAGGGUAGGUGAGGGGCUUUUUGGGGAUUUUCUCACCUCGUUGUUGUCACCCUCUCCCCCACUUCUUCAUAUACGUGUAGAGAGGCUGAGAGGUCUUCAUGCAACCUUCUUCUCUCUCUCUGUAGGUUGAAGCCGUUCGUGGUAGAGCUUGCCGAGGGAGUUCGGAUCGACGCUGACGUCACACUGGGGAGUCGUUCGAGCACACGAGCAUCGUAGUUGCUGCGUUGGGAGGCCGAGCGAGCGUGUGAUUCCGCUAUUUCGACUUCGCGCCGGAUUUGGAAUAGCUUUCGAGGUAGGUUAAUCGUCGGUUACCUUCUAACUGUAUAUGUAGUUGACAUGUAUUCAUUGUGUUGUUUUGCAUAUGAAAAUUGCUCGAUUCAUGGAUUUAGUAUAUUUAUCUACAAAAUCUGAAUUGGAGCCUAGUACUGGACUAUAUAUACUUGCACAUGUUAGACUUGGAUAUGACUUAGGAAAAAACCCGCAAUUCUACCUUAUCACACGCUUAAACUACCUGAUUUAGCUCUAGGAGCCGUGGUUUGUUUGUAUCACCGCAAUAUCCGAGCGGUGGAUACUCAAGGUAGUUUAGAAUGUAUUUACGCUCGUGCUGAGGUACCGAGUGUAUUUUUACAGCAGUGUUUAGGCUAUUCCGGAUUGUCGGGUACCGUUGGGGUUGACGGUGGACCCAGAUUGCUGUUGUUGCAUCAGAUUGUGCCGAGGGCACGUGAGUUUAAUUGUUAGACGCUGUUUACUUGACUAUAGCCUGUGAGAGCCUGAUUGAGCUCGACAGAGACACGCUUGCAUACUCGGUUGGGUAGCGCCCACGAGUGCCACUCCGGAGUUCGGCUUUGUGCUGUUGCGUUGGUGUCGUUUGGUUCUGGUUGGACUCGCUCUCCACUGACGACCUGGUUUGGUGUCAGAUUGUGUAGCUUCGACAGGCGGGACGGGUGUGUUCACAGUCCCUAGUGAGAUUGGGUCAGGCUUUACUAUUUCCUACAGAGUGUUGGUGUUCGACUGAGAUAGUAUAGAUGCAUAUAGUUGUAGAUUUGUUCCAGCUUUCUUACUAUAUUUGUUUACUUCUGUAGACUUGGUGGGUAAACCGAUGAUUUUGAGGGCGGUACCCACUAAGGACUAUUUGUUUUUACAGUAGUUCUCACGUCCAGUUGUUACCCCACUUUUGCAGAGCCUUCUGUUCCGGCUGCUGCAUCUUCCGAGACCGAUCGUAGCAAGGGCGUUGCGAGCUAGAGCCCUUCCGGACGAGUCACAGAGCUAGAGGAUCACCAACUACAGGUAAUUAUAGUUUUUGAGUUCAUAUACAUAUUUUUGUUGUAUCUCGCUGGGUGAGCCUUUUGUACAAUGGAAUUGGAUGUAUGUAUAGUGAACUUUUAUUUUUAUACUCCUGUUCCUUUUUCUUAGCAGCUCUAUACUACUGGUUGUAGUGUUGUUGAUUACAGGAUCAGUUACAGCUUCACUUCGUAUACAGAAAAAAUUCCUAUGUAUACGGCGGAUUUGUCGGCGCGUCCGGAAAAACGAGUAAUCCAGAGCGUGACAAUUGUUAAAUGUUAAUUUGCAUUAUAAAAACAAAGAGUGUAACUUUCUUCCAAAAAAUACAACUUUCGUCUUAAAGUGUUUAAUUUUCGUCUCAAAGAAUGCAUCAUUCUUCUCAAACAAUGCAAUUUUUUUUUUUUGAAAUAAUGCAACUUUAAUUAACAGUGCAACUUCAUCUUUUCUUCUUAUUUCUUCUUUGCUUCUUGACUUUUCCUAUAACAACGAUGAUACAUAAUGGUCUUUAAAGAAUCGACGAUCCAUGCUGUUAUAUAUAAUUUAGAAUAUUUAGAACUCUUAGAAAAUAAAUUUUGUAUUUUUUUAAAAAUAUAUUGAAGUCCAUCAAGCGAGUAUAAAAUGAAUGGCUAAAAUUGAACGACCUCUUAAAAAUAGAGACUCGAAUUCUUUAAUUUAAUAGCGGAGUUAUAAAUCUCUAUUUAGAUAGUAAAUAGAAUUUUCUAUCAAAAAUUCAAUCGAUUCCGAAUCUUCAACCACUAGUUGAACCAAUGAUGCCAACAUGAUGUUAUAAAUAUUUAUUAAUUUAUAAUUUUUAUUAUAUAGAAAUAUAUUACAAUUACAAUUAGUUUUUAUUAUUAUUAUCAUACUUAAUUAUGAAAUACAAAUUUUUGGACCAAAUUAAGUAGGCAUGCAUUUUAAAAUUUUAUUUUUCAUAAUUAAAAAUGAAAUUAGUGAAAAUCAACCAUAAAUAAAAUUAAAAAUUACACUAAUAAACAAAAAAUCAAAAAUCAAACAAAUCUAGCUGGUUUGUUCAUAACCGCACCAGUUCACAGUUUCGCUGGUUGAAUCGCUAAAUCGCGCUGUUCAAAGCAUGUUAUUGGCCUAUCCAGUUUAAAGGGGCAAACCGAACCAUUUUAUUAACUAGGUCAUGUUCUAUCCAAGUUUUAAAAUAUUGGUGACUGCAAGAUUUAAACAGCAGCAAAUUUUUUUUUUUUUUGAGAAAUAGGUAGCACGCUAUCUGCUUCGUUUAUUUUAUUUAGAAAUAAAUUUAACUGGAAAUGUGAAUCAACUAGAAAUCGAACUUGGGGCCUUGAGUACCAACUACCAACCACCAAGCUCUUUGCCACUUGCGCUAGGGACGGUCGGUCAGCAGCAAAAAUUUUAAACGAGAGUAAGUGACAUAAGAGUCAAAAUCCAAGGGGGUAUUGUGUAAUUUAGCCUCAACUUUUCCUAUUGAAGGAAGUCACACACACACACACACACACACACACAAAAGGACAGUAGUUGUUUGUUGGUGGAUGAUGGUGUGUGUGUGGUGGGAGCUUGGGCUUGGGACAAGUGCAAACCACUCCACCUCUUUAAACCAAAAAGAAAAAAAGAAGAAAAUGUUGCUUUGGUUGUGAAAGGAUAGGUUGGAGGAAAAUAUUCUAGGACCUUGAAAGAAUUUUCUAUAAACUACUAAUGCAGUAAUUAAUUAUAAAUUUAUAUGAUAAUAAUUAUUAUUAUCUAGAAUAGUUGAUUGUUAUUUUGAAAGUUAAUCGAGGAGUAAGAUUUUUGAAUCUCUGCUUGCUUAUUUCAGAAAAAAAAAAAAAAGUUUUAUGGUUUGAGUCGGCUGCUUCUUGAGUUAUAUAUACUAUUAAUUCUUAUGUAAAUAAGGCCGAUCUAAGUGAAAGAGAAGUAUCCUACUUUCUGUCCUACUUUCUUAACGGUCACGAUAGAUUCUGAGCAUGUAAACAAGGCCGAUCUAAGUGAAAGAGAAGUAUCUUACUUUCUUAGUGGUCAUGAUAGAUUCUGAGUGGAUUGGUUUUUAUUCUAUUCUUCGCCCCUCUCCCCCCCCACAACCACUACUUACCGCUAUAUUCGGAACAAAUUGGGUGGAAGCAUAUUUUUAACAAAUUGAAACAGAUUAAAGAAAGAAAGAGGCCUUCUGCCUCCAGCUCCAUUUUCUGAUUCUUCACAAUAGAUUUUUUUUCUUCUUCUUAAUUAUUUAUGGCCCCUACGUACUGUCUCAUUUAUGAUGGACUAGGUAGAAGCUUCAUCAACCCGAAUCCAUUUGCAUGCGUAUUCUUAGAAUAGAUAGCGUACGACAUUAAAAGCUCAUAAGAAUUGCAUUUGAAAAUUGAAUAUAUACCUAUGCUGAGUUGCACAAAAGGGCUCCUGAUCAUUCUAGAAAUUACAUUUCAGUCCUUAAUAUACAAAAGUUGCAUCUAGAUUUUUUUUUUUUUUCAAUCUCAUUGCAACUUUAGAUUUUCUUAAUAAAAUUUUGAAUUAAUCUAAUAAAACUCUCCACAUUAUUUUUUUUUUAAAGAUAGGUAGCACGCUACUCGCUUCGUUUAUUUCAUUUAGAAAUAAACUUAACUGGAAAUAUCAUAGUUCAAAAGCCAUGUAAGUAAUAAUUAAAUGAUGAGAAUGUAAUUCAAACUUUUGAAUAAUAUGAAAAACAUUAGAACAAUCUACUAAUAUAUUAGAUAUUUUUAAAAUUUAAAAGAAUAUAUUAGAUAUUAUUUCUAUUUCUAAUAUUUGGAAUAGUAAUCUCAAUAGGACUACAAAUAUAGCUUUUUUGCGCAUAAUGAGAAAAAGAUUGAGUACUAUUUCAUUCCAUUUUAUGAGUGGUAAAACAUUACAUAGAUUGUAGCCUAAUUGGAAAUUGUUAUAUUUGAAAAUACAUACUUUUAUACUAUAAAAAAAUUGUAAAAUUUUAAAAGUAUUUUAAAUUUUUUUAUAUCUCUAAUAGUAAUAAAUUUAUGAUGGAAAUAAUCACCAAAAAAAGAAGCAGUUGUUAGUUAUAUGCCCAAAAGCCAAUCUGAUGACACUAGCUUAAAGGUAUUUAUAUAUUAAUCAUUUAUAAUUCUGUUGAGCCAAUUAGGCGCGGACAGGAUUGGUGCUGGUGUUCCCUUCAAAAGCAUCUAUUCGGUCGUGCACCGGGAGCACCGGAAAAGUGUAAAGAAAACCAAAUUGUGCCAAUUGAAGGAAGUUACGGUAACCGUAAGCAGUUACAUGCGGUUCCGAUAGGCUGGAGGUGAUCCGGAAUAUGAGGAGAUAAUGGCCGAUCAUGUAAGAGCAAUAACUGAUCAAGAGGGCGAUCUAUAAAUAGGGUAAUAACACCUUAAAAGAGGGUCUUUGCCUCUGCGAACAAAAGACCACCCUUAGUUUCCAGCAUCUUUCUUUCCUGCAUUUACCGUUUUUUCCUAGGAGUAGUUCCUGUAACUUAGCAUCCUGGAGUCUGUCUGCCCUUUGGGCAUCACUCCGCUGUAGGCUAAACCCCUUUUUUCCUGUACUUUCCCCGUUUUACUUCAAUAGAAGGCAGUGUUCGGCUCUUCAGGUCGACCGGUUUUUGUGCUGUAUUAGCCAUUCGGCUCAUUUCUUAGUCGAAAUUCUAUUUUCUCCUGUAUAUUCGGCUCAUCCAGCCGAACCGAAGAGUGAAAAGAGCUUUCGGACCAGGUUGAUUGGAUCCCUUAUCGACCGAAUCGCUUGACAGAUCAAAGGGCGCAAACUUUGAGGGUCACUAUUCGCAGCCGUUCCUCAUCCCGACGCACUUCCCUAGGAGGAUCUUUGACCGGAUCAAGGGUCGGGAAAUUCGGCUUCCAACAAUUUUUGGUACGCCCGGUGGGACGCUAAUAUAAAGUAAAAUUUAUAUUUUUAAUAUAAAGUAUGGCUGAUGAUAAUGCCAUGAAUCUUCGUAAUAGGGCUAUUCUUAGAAAUUCUGGGAGUGAACAGCCCAGUAAUUCAGAGAAUGUUGUAAAGCGCCAAGCAGUCUUACCUACUGAAGGUGAGACCAGUGGUCAAUCAGGCCAACAAGAGCCUAGCCUGGCUCAAGCGCUUGGACAAAUGACUCGGGUCCUGCAAGUUUUGGACCAAAAUAGUCAUGCAAGUACUGCACGGCUGGAUGCCGUAUUGGCCGCAAUCACGGCCUCUAAUGAGAACAUAGCCCGAAUAGGGCAAUUGUUGACUCGGAAUGAUCAGUCAACAUUAGGUUUACAAACACCUAUGAUGGCACCAGUGUUACAAAAUCCUGCAACACUGGUGAAUGGUCAGGCCCAAUACCAGGGAACACCAUAUCAACCGUCUUAUAGACCGGCUGUAGUUAAUGUCGGUUAACAGCCAGAGAUAGCUUGGGGGCUGCCACCACCUCCACCGGUAGCAGCGUACCAGCCCCAAAAUGUAGGGGCUAGGGGGCAGACUCCAAAUACACAAGGGGUUAAUCCUUUUGUGCAAAAUCUCGGUGCGCCACAACCAUCGAACCCAGCACCAGCGCAAGCCCCUUUACAGGGGAUUAAUAACAAGAUUUAUGCGCAAAUAGAAGAAGCCAUCCGGAAUACUUUCGGAGUAGGCGCAAGGCCGGCAAUGCGGCCCGUAUUCAGGUCACCAUACCCUACAAAUAUAGAUGUAGAACACCCAUAUCCGGCUAAUUGGAAGAUGCCGAAGUUUGACAAAUUUUUCGGCGACGAGACCGAAAAUACGGUCGAGCACGUCGCGCGGUUUAUAGCUCAGUGCCGUGAGGCCGCGACAAAUCCGUUUUUAAAGUUGAGGUUAUUUAAUACCUCAUUAACUAAGACGGCUUUCACUUGGUACACAAGUUUACCUGCUAACUCCGUCCGAGACUGGGACGAGUUAGAAGGUAAAUUUCAUGAACAGUUUUAUAGAACUGAGCCAGAACUAUCAGUUGCGGAUCCGGCUCAAUUCAAACAAAGAACAGGAGAAUCAGUUGAUGAAUAUUUGAACCGAUUCAAAACUGCUCGAAGCCAUUGUUUCGUAAGAAUGCCGAAAUUGGAGUUUGCCAAAAUGGCAUUCAACGGCAUGCAUUUUAAAAUUAAAGAUCAUUUUGAAGAUAAAUUCUUUUCAAAUCUUUUUUAUUUAGGAGUUCGAGUUGCUUAAUACGAGCAAUUUUGAAAAGGUAACAAUGAAGAUCGGCCCAGAUGGAGCCGAAACAAAGAUUGGAGCAAAGGAAAGGAGAAAAAUAUCUUUUUCCUUGAAAAGUCUUCGGCUCAUGAAAAGCCAAAUUCAUCUGAAGAUAAUGAGGAUUCGGCUGAUGAAACCGAAAUCUGUGCUGCCAAGAUGGUGAGAAAUAAUCAACCAUACAAAUGUGCUUUGUUAAAACCCGCCAAGUCAAGAGAGGCAAAAGCACAUGUGUCUGCAUUUAAUUAUUCGUUUGAUAUAGCAAAGACCGAUUUGAUUUUUGAUCGGUUGCUAAAGGAUUGACGAAUCAAACUACAGGAAGGUCAAACUAUACCUCCGGUAGAAGAAUUAAAACGCAAAAGAUAUUGUAAGCCGCACCAUUCAUGGAGCCAUAAGACUAGUGUGUGUGCUGCUUUCAAAAGGCAGAUACAAAAAGAGAUAAACGAAGGUCGACUCAUCUUUGCCGACCAAGAAAACAAAAAUAUAAAAAUUGAUAAGAAUCCUUUUCCAUCACAGGUCAACGCCGUGAACAUGAAAGGAAAAGGAAAAGCGACUGCAAAAAGGCAGAUCUAAGAAGAAAUAGACGAGGGUCGGCUCAUAUUAGCCGACCAAGAAAAUGAAAAUAAGGUAAUUAACAGAAAUUCGUUUCCUUUUCAGGCCAAUAUGGUGAAUGUUAAAGGGAAAGAGACUACGGACCAGGUGACAGCAGACAACGUGGCACAUGUCGAAAAACAUCUUCGGCUUUGCAUAAGGUGCAAGGCCGAAAUGAUGAAGAAAGAUUGGGAAGCAAUUGUUAAUGCCAAGAAAAGAGGCAACGAGUGGAAUGAGUUGAUGGCAUUCCCCGAGGAAUGGGAUGACAUUCCUAAUGGUGAAGAUCAAGAAGAAGAAGGCUCAGACGAGGCCUCCAAUGACACUGAACCGGAAGUCAAAUCGGUUCAACGCAAACAAGACAUGUUGAUGCAGAAGAUUCUGCAUGAUUAUUACAAUAACAGGCGUGGCGAGCGUCAAAGCCAAUGGGACUACCAGGGUAGACACUUCGGCACCAAGCCAAGAAUUCCUGGAUAUCGGCUACAUUGGCAGCAUCAAAUGAGGCUGAGACCAGAACCGAAAUUCGAGGGAAUGACCGAGGGAGACAUAGAAUUCCUCGAUCGAAGAUUAGUCAACGAACUCGGCAUUCAGCCUUAAGCCGAGACCUUGGGAGAGAAGAGAAAUUUUGAAAAACCAUUUGAAGACGGUAAAGGUACCGGCGAAUGUGCCAGUGGAUGAGUGGCACGAAGUUGAAAUCAAACCAUCGGCCAGGUGGCAAGGGCUGAUGUUAACAAAAACUCAAAAGCGUCGGCAGUAGAGGAUGCAAGCCGAGGCAAGAUAACAUUACGAAGAAGCGAAAGGAAUGAGGCUCAAUGUAUGGAGGCGUCCUAAUGAGCAGGCACACCCUUUUCGCCUAAUGAAAAACGACCACGAGGCAGGUGGCUCAUCACCUAUCCCUUGGAUAAAGUCGAAAAUAGAACGGCCAAUUGAGGCCGAGUCCGAAGAAAAGAUGACCAGGAGGGAGCUAGAAGAUAAAAUAGCCUCUCUUGAAACGAUUAUUAAGAGAGAGCGAUGGCCUCCAAAGAAAAGAGAGGUCCGCAUGGAGAGUGAGUCUUUAGCCGAAACGGCUAAGGAGUCGGAAGAGAAGAAACAGAGAAUUAAGGGAAAGUCGGCUGACGAGUCACCAGCCGAGGUGAAUAUGGUAUAUACCCUACCUCAAUCUUUCAAGGCAGAACUUGUCGAGUAUGAAAAGUUCAGAGACGAGGAAGAAUACGGGCUUAAAGUAGCCCAGUUGCAAUUGGAAGAUGUUCAGCCGGCCGAUGCAGUGGUUUUCGAGAAACCAUCGGCUAUGCAGACGAGAUUCAUAAGGCCUCUCUUUAUAAAGGCCUUAAUCGAGGGUCGCCCGGUAGGCCGAGUUAUGGUAGAUGGAGGUGCCAUGAUCAAUGUGAUGCCUACUUCUUUUUUCAAGAAGCUAUGCAAAGAUGAUGAUGAGUUGAAGCCCACCGACUCAAUCAUGACCGACUUCACCGGAAACGGUCAACGAGCUCGAGGAGUACUCACCACCGAACUCACGGUAGGCUCCAAAACUUCGAAAACUGCGUUUUUUAUGGUGGAUGCGGAUAGUCAAUACAAUUUAUUACUCGGACGAGAUUGGAUACAUUCGAAUGAGUGUGUACCCUUUACACUCGGAAAACUGUUCCAGUGGGUAGGAGACAAGGUAGAAGAAAUCCAGGCCGAAGGACAUCGGCUACACCAAUUGGGCCGAUGCGGAUCCAGAUCAGAUUUCUUUCGUCAGAGUAACAGAUGAGGGGAUUCAAUUAAUCCUCUCCAAAGAUGUCAAUGAUAUGGUGGUUGAUGAAGAGCCACCAUGGUUGUUAAAAUGGAGUCCGAAAAAUUGAGAAUAGAGGCUUGUAGAGCAUAGGCUUCCUAUCAAAAAAGGGUUUAAGCCUUUUAAACAACCGGCUCGUAGAUUUGAGCCGAGUAUUGUACUUCAAAUUAAAAAUGAAAUAGAAAAUCUUUUGAAGGCCGGAUUUAUUAGAGCGGCCCGUUAUGUUGAUUGGGUGUCUAACAUAGUUCCAGUACGAAAAAAGAAUGGUAAACUUAGAGUUUGCAUUGAUUUCAGGAACUUAAAUUUAGCCACACCAAAAGAUGAGUACCCCAUGCCAAUAGCCGAUAUGUUAGUAGAUUUGGCUUCCGGUAACGAGGUCCUGUCCUUUAUGGACAGACAUGCUGGGUAUAAUCAAAUUUAUAUUGUUGAGGGUGAUGUAGCUAAAACGGCUUUCAGAUGCCCUAGUUCCAUUGGAACUUUUGAAUGGGUUGUCAUGCCGUUCUGUUUAAAGAAUGCCGGAGCUACUUAUCAGAGGACAAUGAAUUUUAUUUUUCAUGAUUUAAUCAGCAAGAUGUUGGAAGUAUAUAUUGAUGAUAUAGUCGUGAAAUCCAAGUCACAAGCCGAGCACUAGAUUAACUUAAAACUCGCAUUUGAAAGAAUGAGAAAAUAUAAUUUGAAAAUGAACCCUUUGAAAUGUGCUUUCGCAGUUUCAGCAGGAAACUUUCUAGAAUUUUUAGUGCAUAAAAAAUGGAUCGAAAUUGAUAAAAAUAAGGCGAAAGCGAUAUUAGAAUUACCGCCACCAAAGUGCAAAAAGGAGCUGCAAAGCCUGUUAGGGAAGAUCAAUUAUCUUCGGCGGUUUAUAUCCAACUUGGCCGAAAGAAUAGGGGCGUUUACCCCACUACUUCGGCUAAAAGAUAAAGAAGAAUUUGUUUGGACAGAGGAACAGCAAGGGGUAUUUAAAAAUAUAAAAAGAUAUUUAUCAAACCCUCUGGUAUUGGUGCCUCCAAAGUCAAAUCGGCCGAUGAAAUUGUAUAUUUCGGCUGCGGAGGAAAAUCUUGGGUGUUUAUUAGCCCAAGAAAACGAAGAGAAAGAAGAACAAGUCAUUUAUUAUUUGAGUCGACGUCUUUUAGAUAUCGAGAAACGGUAUUCGGCUAUUGAAAAAUUAUGUUUGGCUUUAUACUAUUCAUGCACAAAGUUAAGAUACUAUAUUUUACCAACUGAGGUAUUGGUAAUAUGCAAAACCGAACUGGUAAAGUAUAUGUUUGCCAAACUUAUAUUAAGGGGUCGACUUGAAAAAUGGAUGUUGGUUUUGUCUGAAUUCUCCCUUCAUUAUAUUCCAGCUAAAACUGUUAAAGGACAAGCGAUAGCUUACUUUUUGGCUGAUCAUCCGCGUGUGGAAAUUGAAGAACCGAAGCAAAAUUUAGUCGGUUGUCAACCUUGGACACUUUAUUUUGACGGCUCAAGAACAGCCGAAUCAGUAGGAGCUGGAAUAGUUAUCCAAUCUCUUGAAGGGUAUUCAUACCAAUUUGCUUUCGAGCUAAAUUUCGGCUGCUCUAACAAUCAAGCCGAAUAUGAGGCCUUAAUAAUUGGCCUAAAAAUUUUACAAGAAUUGAAAGCAAAGUCAAUCAAAGUCAUCGGUAACUCACAACUAGUAAUCAAACAAGUGAAUGGACAAUACCGAUGUGAAAAUCAGAAUUUACAAAAUUAUUUAAGGAAGACAUUAGAGUUACUAUGUGAAUUCAGAGAAACUGAAUUCGAACAUUUGAGCAAACAGAAAAAUGAAAAGGCAAAUGAACUAGCUCAGUCGGCUUCAAGAUAUAGAGAGCUGAAGUCAGAGUCAAUAGUAAUAUAGAGGAGGUUGCUACCUUCGGUUUAUGUACGAGAACCGAUUAUAGCUCCCAUAGAAGUGAAGGAAGAUUGGAGAGAAUUAUUAAUCAAAUAUCUGGAGAAUCCUAAUACAAGGGUCGACUAUAAUAUUCGAAGAAGAGCUCUCGGCUAUUGUUUGUUAGAUGGUCAACUUUACAAGAGAACAGCCGAAGAAGUUCUAUUAAAGUGUUUAGGACCUGAAGAAGCUCUGUUGAUAAUGGGAGAAACACAUGAAGGAAUAUGUGGAACCCACUUAGCAGGAAAAAAGUUAAGAUGGACAAUUCGGCACUUAGGAUAUUAUUGGCCAAUAAAGCAUCAAGAUUGUAUAGAAUAUGCCAAAGGUUGUCAGGAUUGUUAAUUUCAUGGCUCAAUCCAGAGAGUUCCGGCCUCUGAGAUGUAUGCAAUCAUCAAACCAUGGCCUUUUCGAGGUUGGGCCAUGGAUUUAAUUAGAGAAAUUCAGCCGAACUCCUCGGCUGGUUACAAAUUUUUAAUAGUGGCUGUCGAUUAUUUCACCAAGUGGGUGGAAGCAAAACCCACUCGGUUGGUUACUCAAAAAGAAAUUAUUGAUUUUGUUGAAGAUCAUAUAAUUCAUCGCUUUGGGAUUUCCGAGACAAUUACGACCGAUCAAGGGACAAUGUUCACAGGAGGACAGUUCGUUCGGUUCAUCGAGUCUCAAAAGAUAAAGUUACUACAUUCGUCUCCUUAUUAUGCCCAAGCGAAUUGACAAGUAGAAGCAGCGAAUAAAAUAGUCAUCAAUCUUAUGAAAUGACAUAUCGGAAAGCAUCCGAGAAAAUGGAAUGAAAAACUUUCCGAAGUAAUGGGCAUGCCGAACUUCAGUGAAAACGGCAAUAGGGAUGACACCAUUCCAAUUAGUUUACAGACAUGAGGUCGUAAUUCCAGCCGAGAUAACAGUUCCUUCUUUGAGAACAGAAAAGCAAAAAGAUUUGUCGGCUGAUGAAUACAGUAAUUUAAUGAAAGACAAAGCAGAGGAAGUAUAUGAUACUCAGUUGAUAGCUUUAGAUAAUAUGCAAGCAUACCAAAGCCGAGUGCGUAGUGCAUACAAUAAGAGAGUUCGAUCAAAGACAUUUGUCGUCGGUGAUUUAGUACUUCGGCUGGUUUUUCCAAUCGGUCAAAAAGACCGAACGUAUGAAAAAUGGUCUCCAAAUUGGGAAGGGCCAUUUCAAGUUAGCCGAAUCACAAAAGAAAAUACAUAUUACUUGCAGAACAGAGAUGGUUUAGAAAAUAAAAAACCUAUUAAUGGAAAGUAUUUGAGGAAAUAUUACCCAUCCAUGUGGGAGAAAAACCAAGAUUAAAGUUAGAAUAUUACAAGCCGAAUCAAGUUAAUAAAUCUUUGAGUUGGUUCCAUUCGGCUAUAAGGUUGGCUUGAGCAACUUCGGCAGCUUUUCUUCGGCGCUUCAUCAAGGGAUGCAUCUUGUAGAGUUGAGAAAGCUCUUCCUGAAUUUUCAUCCCUUCUGCUCUUUUAGUCUUUAAUUGGUUCUGCAAUUGAAGUCGGCGCUCAGAGGUUUGGGCUAAAGUUGAUUUGGCUGCUGCUAACUCUUCUUUGAGGGUUAGAAUGCGCUGCCGUAAAACCGAUUCCUGGUUUGCCAGAGAUUGAUCUUCGCGGUUCACUUCAGCAAUUGGAGCCGCCACUUCAGGGAUAUUCCUCUUAAAGUGAUCAACGUGAUGAAAAUAUUGAUCUAAAGAUAAAAGUUCGGCACCCAAAGAUCGUUGCCGAGUUAAAAAAGAAGAAAGUUGAGAUGAAAGAGUCUCUACAAAACAUUUAAUACUAGAAGUAAUAUCUACUUGAUCGGCCAAAUCGAGUAAAAGAGCAUAUAGCCGAUCAAAUUGUUCUGGAUUCUGAGCUAAGUUAGGGAUACCAUUGCUAUAUAUCUUAAGACACUCGUCAAAUUUGCUUUGAGUGUUUGAAGAUACGACAAUGGUUGAAGAAUCAUCUCCCUCAUUAGAAUUGGGGCUCGAGACCAGUAAAGAAAGGAGACUAGCAGAUAGAGGAUCAUCAGAAAUAGUAGGGGAAGCUCCCUCGGUUGAAUGAGGAGGUAUGGUGCUUGUAUCUCCAGAACUCUGCCCAAGAGACUUUUUCUUUUUCUUUAUCUCUUGUUUCUUCUCAAGACGGGCCUCCCUGCGCAGUUGUCUUUCCAUCUGCGUCUUUGAAGAAUGAGCAAAAGGGGCUCGCUCAGGAGAGGACUGUGGUUUAAAAGAAAACGAUAAAUAAAUAAUAAAUAUUUUCUUUUACAGACAACUAACUUGGCUUACCCCGAUAUCAAUCGAUUCGGUCGGAACAGGGCCUUGUUCAGUAGCCGAGAAGGGUACAGCAGUUUCCUCUAAUGGGAUAUCAGCCGAAGUUAUGUCCUCGGUUACUGUUUCUGGAAUUGAAGCCGAGGGAAUAUCCUCGGCUCUGUCUUCGAUAGUGUCAGCCGAAGGGGUACCUUCGGUUUGUCGAAAUUGCCUUUUGGCAAUUGAUUUGCGCCGCUUUGAAGACAGCGGAGGUGUGGAUUGUACAGUCUCAAUCGGUCUUUUAUCUGAAGCCAGGACCGAUGAAGAAUCUGGAAUUGACUGUAAGAUAGAAAUGAAAUAUAUAUGUAUCUCGAAAAUCUAAAAGCAAGGACAAGGAAAAAGAAAGAGGUGAAGUAUCAGAAACCUCUUCUGGUUCUUCUUUUGGUAUAAGGGGAUCAAUAGAGACAGGUGCUGCUGUAUCUGAAAAUAAAAGAAUAAAAAUUGAGUUUAUAAAGGCUAAAAAUGGAAGAAGGGUGAACAUGAGCAAAGAGACGUACCAAGAGGAAGAAUGGUUUGGCAAAAUGCGUGGACAGUGGACCGAUUAAAAAUACGAUCGGUAAAAUGAUCCCAAGUGACAAUAAAACGAAAACCCAACACCCCUGUGUAAUUCGGCCUGAAACUCACUAAUUUGAAGAAUCGCCGAAGACGAUUCCCCAUCGCCGAAAUCCGAUCAGCAUCAGCUAUGCUUUUGGUAGGGGGUCGGUUAAAGGCAGUAUUAGAGGUAAAGAAUUUGGCCGGAGCAGGGAUUGCUUGAGUGAAGCCGAAUUGACGCGCUACAAAUUGAGAAGAGUAAACUUCAUUGCUAGGCAACAAUUUUGAGCACGACUUCAGGCCAAUGUGCAAAUCCCUUGGGGCCAGGAAUGAGUACCAAACGUCUGCAUAUUCACCUGCGCGAGAGGAAGCUAGCUCGUUUUGAAGAGACUCAUAUCUUGCUAAAAACCAAGAUGGGCCGGUGACACGAUCCGCAAAAGGGGACCAAUGAUUAGUAAAAUGAGGGCGAGAUUCAUAAAAUAUUUUAAAAUAAAUUUAGAAGUCGGAAGGAUGGCCGGAUGUCAAUGGCUGAGGGCAGCCAAGAGCCAGCCCAUAAAAAUCAAAAUAAGCAGCCGAAUCUUUAUUGAAAGGAGUUCGGCACAAGUGGGGGAGAUAGAUUUGUAAAAACAUCUGCAAAAACCAAAAGACACCGCAGCCCGAACUAAUGGUUACACCUUCUCCAGAAGGUAGGGCUUUGAUGGAAUCAAAGAUUUCUCUAUAAACAAAAGCGAGAAAAUAAGGUCCAAGAGCUAAUUUAUCGCCGUUAGUCAAACCAACAGUGAUAGGAACGAAAUCGCAAUUGAUCUUCUGUGAACGAGUACAGAAGAGAUUAUGACAUAACCAGUAUAGAAGGAACGCUGUGUGUUCCUUCUUGGUAAUAGGAGCAGAAGAGUCUCCUGCAAAUUUACGGAGAAAUUUGGAAUAAGCCAAAUCAGUGAGGUCAAGGUGGGCCUCAAAAUCGGAUACACCAUCAGGGUUGUAGGCCAUGGAUAGGGCAACACUAUGAGGCUGUAGACCUACGAUAGCGGCUACAUCCAAGAGAGUUGGGGAAAGAGGUCCUGCUUUAAAAAAAAAAAUAUUGGAAACAGGGGACCAGAAACAAAAAAACGGAAGCUAAAAGGAAAGAAUAGACUAUAGGAGGCUUCCGAGAUAACUGAAUAGCUUCGUAGACUCCAAUUUCCUUCCAGAAAUCACCAUAAGUAGCUUCCACGCGAUCCAACCAGGCCAAGUAAGCGUCUGAAACACUGGGCCAGGUUCGAAGAUUUCUUUCUGUUGAAGCUGAAGGAUACCAGGAAUGAAGAUGGACAGAUUUGGCCAUCAAUGGAAGACCUUCAUCAGAAAAAGAAAAAUCAUCAACAGGCGGUUCUUCAGUGAAAGAGGGACCCAAGAUGAAUCUAGAAGGAUCCAUACCGAGAUACGGCUUGAGCAAGGUAUAAUCCAAUGAAGGACGAGUAGGCAAUGGCGGAAGAGGCGCCAUUCUUUGAAACGAAGAAACGAAGGAAGAUGAAGAAGACGACAAAAGAAAGAAAGAGACGAAGAAGAGAUUUCGUUGUAGAAGACGAAAAAAGAGAUAAAAGGGAUAGGAGAGACAAAAAGAAUGAGAAGCUUAGGGAAGAAGAAAAGACCGUCGUAUCGAACUGUCGCAUCGAAGCGAGUUCCGAGGUCAGCUAUAAUGAUGAAUAGACGGCGGUAAUUAAGAUGACCUAGUUAAUGCCGCAGAUUAGACAAAAUAAGGAUUGAGAUCGGGCCGUAAGAUAGAAAAUAAACGGCUAUGAUUGAACCGUACAGAGGGUCACGCCUCGAAUUACGUCGGGUACUGGUACAGAGAUUUUGAAUGUGAUUGGACUGAGAACGACGCCUCGGAUCGCGCUUGUUAUUGAAGCAAAUACAGGAUUUCGGCAGCAGAAAAAGGGACGGCUGAGAUGAAACUAUACUGGGAAGUUGAAAAAUAAUCGUGUCUCAGGUGACGGCAGCUACCGAAGUGUUACUUCGAAAGCUGCCGAUGGGGCAAUUGUUGAGCCAAUUAGGCGCGGACAGGAUCGGUGCUGGUGUUCCCUUCAAAAGCAUCUAUUCGGUCGUGCACCGGCAGCACCGAAAAAGUGUAAAGAAAACCAAAUCGCGCCAAUUGAAGGAAGUUACGGUAACCGCAAGCAGUUACAUACGGUUUCGAUCGGCUGGAGGUGGCCCGAAAUAUGAGGAUAUAAUGGCCGAUCGUGUAAGAGCAAUAACUGAUCAAAGGGGCGAUCUAUAAAUAGGGUAAUAACACCCUAAAAAAGGGUCUUUGCCUCUGCGAACAAAAGACCACCCUUAGUUUCCUGCAUCUUUCUUUCCUGCAUUUACCGUUUUUUCCUAGGAGUAGUUCUUGUAACUUAGCAUCCUGGAGUCUGUCUGCCCUUUGGGCAUCACUCCGCUGUAGGCUAAACCCCUUUUUUCCUGUACUUUUUCCGUUUUACUUCAAUAUAAGGCAGUGUUCGGCUCUUCAGGCCGACCGAUUUUUGUGCUGUAUUAGCCAUUCGGCUCAUUUCUUAGUCGAAAUUCUAUUUUCUCCUGUAUAUUCGGCUCAUCCAGCCGAACCGAAGAGUGAAAAGAGCUUUCAGACCCGGUUUAUUGGAUCCCUGAUCGACCGAAUCGCUUGACAGAUCAAAGGGCGCAAACUUCGAGGGUCACUAUCCGCAGCCAUUCCUCACCCCGACGCGCUUCCCUAGAAGGAUCUUUGACCGGAUCAAGGGUCGGAAAAUUCGGCUUCCAACAAAUUCUUAAUAUGAGAGUAGAUAUUCUAUUCAUGUCAAUUGUAUAGUAGUGCAAUAUUGACGUGAAUCGUCUAGAGGGUUUUUGUUUGAAAAAAUAUAUUCCUAGGAGUUAGGAAUUUGAGAUAUAUAUUUUUCUGACGAGACUCUUUAAAUGCUCUUAGCUAGAGGAAUAUUAUAGGAUGGUGAUAUUCCGGAUAGAGCGGUGUAUGCUAUGUUUCUAAUUGAGAUGACAAAUCUCAAGUCACUAGUGUAGGGACACUAGAACAAGUAUACAUAUGCUUGUUAGAAAAUAAGUACACUGAGUGUGACUAUUUAGUUAAACAGUCACAUGAUUCCAUACUCGCCAGUGACAAGUUUAUUACUAUAGUUGUGUGAAAUACUCCUCAGACCUGAGGCAUCAUGGUUGUUUCACGUAUAGCUUGAUACCAUUUGACAGUAGUAAUACAAAGACUCUAGACACAGGUCUAUUUUCGGUACUGAUUUGCUGUAGAAAUUUAUGCGAGGAGGCAUGUAAAUGCGCAAUAAGAAAUCCAACACUCUCAAUGAUGAGGGAGAACGUACUAUACAAUUUAUCGGACUCGACUGGAAAAAUCCCUAACUAGGAUACAUAAUAUGUGGAAAGAGUUUUCAACUGUGUUGCCAUAUUAAGUUGAUUUCAAAUAUUCUAGUCAUAUAGUUAAAUGAUAAGGAUUGGCAAGUAACCAUGACCUUAUUUCGAUUGAGACAUUGUAUGUUGGAAGGAAUUAAUUAUACGGUAACUAUAAGUGCAGGUUCAUUCUUUAUCAUCAUUCUAGACUGCCGUGAUAUACUGUUAGGUGUCACUCACGGACGGUGAGAGAAUAUGAAUGAUUCAAAUUGAAAUGUUCUUAUUUAUCGAUUAGAAGAGUUCUAAUUAAAUAUCAAAAAAUUUGAUAUUGAGCUCCACUGUUGAAUGGUAAUAAACCUAUGCGGUCAUACACACUAGGAAUUGUAUGCGCCUGAAUCGUUUAGAUGAGAGUCGUUUAUUAAAGAGUUUAGUAUAAGCAAUGAAUAUAAGAGAAAGCUGCUUUAAUUAUCAAAUCAGUUAUUACUGAUAGUUCUAAUUAGAUUAGUAUCUCAGAAUCAGUUUGACAAUUAUGCGCGAGAUUUAAAUUUAUCACUAAUUAGAUUAGUGGAUAAUAUUUAAUCGUAAAGUAUAAAUAUUAAUAAGAUUUAAAUAUUUAGUAAGCAAUCUUAUUGGAUAAGAAGUUAAUUAGGUAAGAUCUAAUUAAAUAUGCAAAGAUUAAUAUUUAUCUCCAAUUGGAUUAGAGAAUAAUUAAAUAUUCAUAAUAUCUUAUAAAAUAAGAUUUUUACUAGAUUUGAUUUAGUUAGAUAAGUAUGAAUAUUUAAUUGCUAAAUUUUAUUGGAGAGAGGGAAAAUCUUAUUAGAUAAGAUUUUUCUAAAUAGAAUUCUACAUAUAUAGAUAUAUGGAUUUAUAUGUAUACAACAACUGAGAUAAAAAAAAAUAAAAAAAUAAAAAAAUAAAAAAAAAGAGCCAUAUGGCACUAUGUUCCGUAUAGAUUGGAGGUUUGCUAAUUAAGGUGCCUUGUACCUUAAUUAAUUGGAUGCAUGUUAGCUUUUGAUCUAUAUACAUAUAGAGAUCAAUCUCUCUCUCGUGCGCAUAUUUCUCUCCAAUCAACUUCUCUACUCUUUAUCAAUUGGUGGAUCAUGAAGGAAUUGCUAGCACCGUCCAGAUGUUCCGUGACUCAUCCGAUUCGUGAGACGAAAAUCGAAUGGGUAUGCGCUGAUUCUAUAUGAAUACGUGUAGAGGCCGGGCACGUGCGCGACUAUACCAGAACUUCAGAGCAAUGAUUAAAACUUAUGCUGUAGUGUCGCUGGUGUUCUGCAGCCCGUGUGCUCCUGCACCUGAGCCUUGUCGACACAUAUGGAGAGUGUCGAGACAAGUCGGAGUCGUUUUAGGCAAAUUGGAUACAAAACGAACUCAGUGCGAUGCGAGAGCAGAGUUUUGACAUUGGAAUUUGCAAAGUGCAAGAUUUUAGUGUUGAGUAUCGGUACCAGGGAGAGGAGUACUGGUACCCUAGUGGAAUUCCAGAACUGAUGCUCUCGGGUUGCGCCAAUCUGAUGCCGAGUACCGGUACGGCAUCGGGCGGGUACCGGUACCCUGUGUGCGAGCUUACGAGUUGAGAGGCCGAGUAUCGAUAACCAAGUUGGCUAUCGGUACUCCAACUGUAAUUUUGAGUAGGUGAGGGGCCUUUUGGUCAUUUGAGGUGUUGUUCAUCCCUAUGUUACCCCGCCUCUAUUUAUACUUGGAGAGCUGCAGAGAAGGAUUUCGUUUUUCUCCUUUUCACUCUCUCUCGAGCUGGUGGACCCGCACGGUUGGGAGGCUGAGACUCGAGCUAGUUCGGGUUUUCAACGUCGAUCCGGAGGGUCGUUCGAGCGUGUGUGCGUAGCGGUUGCACCUUUGGAGGCCAGGCGAGCGCGUGGAUUCCCUUCUUUCGACUUUUCGCCGUAGUUGGACAAGCUUUUCAAAGUGGGUUGAUGUUACCAAAAUCGUCGAACUAUCUCCUAAGUCCUAGCGUCGUUAUCAUGUUCAUUGCUUUGGUUCUAAUUGCUAGUACUCGAAUUCAUGGAAUUUCUAUGUUAUAGCAUAAAAUCUGAAUUUGGAGUUAAGCUAGUAAUUGUAUGCAGGUUAGACUUGGAAAUUGACUUAGGAGAAACCUUUGAACCAUACACUGUCAUUUUUCUGAAAAUUACAAGAUUUAGCUUUAUGAGCUAUAAUUCUUUUGUAUCGCCGCUGUUAGUAUGCGGUGGAUACCCGGAUUAGUGUAGGAUGAGUUUACGCUCGUGCUGGGAGGCCGAGCUCAGUUUACAGUAGUGUAUAGAUAGUUUCGCACUGUCGGGUGCCGUCGUGGUUGGCGGUGGACCCAGAUUGCAUUAGAUUAUGCCAAGGGCACGUGAGAGUUGGUUGUUAGACCAGUUAGACCCUUUUGCAUUGAUUAUAGCCUGUGAGAGCCUGAUUGAGCUCGGUAGAGACACGCUUGCAUACUCAGUUGGGUCGCGCCCACGAAUGCCGCUCCGGAGUCUGUCUACCUUGCUUUGCGUUGAUGUCGUAGUUGUCCGAUUUGGACUUUGCUCUCCACCGGCAGCCCUCGGGGUGGUGUUCGGUGUAGCUUCGACAGGCGAGACGGGUGUAUCACAGUCCCCAAUGAGAUUGGGUCAGAAAUUGCAUUUUUUUCAUUAUAUCUACAGAUAGUCAGUGUUGCUUAGCGAUAGUAUAGUGGCAUUUAGCUGUAGGGUUUCUAGCUUUCCUUACUAUCUUUUGCACAUUUUUCUGUAGACUUAGUGGGUGAGCCGUUGAGGUCGGUGACGGUACCCACUGAGGACUAAUCUAUUUUGCAGUAGUUCUCACACCCAGUUGUUGACCCCUUUUUGCAGAGCCUUCUUCCGCGGCUGCUACUGUCGCCGAUUCAGACCGUGGAAAGAAAGUUGCGAGCUAGAUCCCUACCCGUCUUGUUGCCGUGCUAGAGAAGUACCUUCCCCAGGUAGUUUUGGGCUUUCUUUGUACAUACUGUGAUGUUGUCGAGGUACUCGCUGGAGCGAGUUGUGUUGUAGACAUUUUGUAUAUACAGGAACCCCUCGAGGUUUUUAUAUAUAUGUUUAUUUUCUGUUUAGCAGCUCUUUACCUUGUGAUUGUAGCUUGGUUUUGUUACAAGUACAAUUAUCACUUAUUAUACAGGAAAAAUUCCUAUGUAUACGACGGGUCUGUUGGCGUGCCCAGGGAACUGUAGUAAUAUGGGGCGUGACAUAUGCUACCAACCGUAUAGUAGAUUAAGAGAUCUUAACUUGUCCACGAUAUGAUCUCUAAACAUAAAGAGUUUUCGUUUAGAUUAAAUUUUUGUAUAGUAACAUGAGAAUGAUUCAUCGGUAUUGGAUUGAUUUAUUGGUUUUCGAUUUUUAUAUGUGAUAUGUAUUUGGCUUUCGAAAAAAAAUUAAAAUGAAAAAUUAAUUUUCGCUGCAUUUUUUUUAUGUGCUUGUUAAUUUCUAACAGUAGUAUCAGAGCCGAUUCUCAUGUUUUAUGUAAAAAUAUUAAAUAUCGGUACGGUUCGAUCGAAUUUUUCGAGCUCUUUCU